rnacentral:rRNA from 1 species
AUUGAACGCUGGCGGCAUGCCUUACACAUGCAAGUCGAACGGCAGCACGGGUGCUUGCACCUGGUGGCGAGUGGCGAACGGGUGAGUAAUACAUCGGAACAUGUCCUGUAGUGGGGGAUAGCCCGGCGAAAGCCGGAUUAAUACCGCAUACGAUCUACGGAUGACAGCGGGGGACCUUCGGGCCUCGCGCUAUAGGGUUGGCCGAUGGCUGAUUAGCUAGUUGGUGGGGUAAAGGCCUACCAAGGCGACGAUCAGUAGCUGGUCUGAGAGGACGACCAGCCACACUGGGUCUGAGACACGGCCCAGACUCCUACGGGAGGCAGCAGUGGGGAAUUUUGGACAAUGGGCGAAAGCCUGAUCCAGCAAUGCCGCGUGUGUGAAGAAGGCCUUCGGGUUGUAAAGCACUUUUGUCCGGAAAGAAAUCCUUGGCUCUAAUACAGUCGGGGGAUGACGGUACCGGAAGAAUAAGCACCGGCUAACUACGUG